rnacentral:rRNA from 1 species
AUUGAACGCUGGCGGCAUGCUUUACACAUGCAAGUCGAACGGCAGCGCGGGCUUCGGCCUGGCGGCGAGUGGCGAACGGGUGAGUAAUACAUUGGAACGUGCCCAGUAGUGGGGGAUAGCUCGGCGAAAGCCGGAUUAAUACCGCAUACGACCUGAGGGUGAAAGCGGGGGAUCUUCGGACCUCGCGCUAUUGGAGCGGCCGAUGGCAGAUUAGCUAGUUGGUGGGGUAAAGGCCUACCAAGGCGACGAUCUGUAGCUGGUCUGAGGGGACGACCAGCCACACUGGGACUGAGACACGGCCCAGACUCCUACGGGAGGCAGCAGUGGGGAAUUUUGGACAAUGGGCGAAAGCCUGAUCCAGCAAUGCCGCGUGUGUGAUGAAGGCCUUCGGGUUGUAAAGCACUUUUGGCGGGAACGAAAAGGACUGUGCCAAUACCACGGUUCGAUGACGGUACCCGCAGAAUAAGCACCGGCUAACUACGUG